GCAUGCCAAAUAAAAGCACAAGUUGUUUGUUUACUUCCAAUUUCCAAGAAGUAAAAAAAAAAAAAAAAAAUGUAU
rnacentral:ribozyme from 12 species